rnacentral:ncRNA from 2 species
GGUCAUGAGUUCCAGCGCGAAGCCCCGGCUCGCUGGACGGCAACCCUCCACCGCGGUGGGGUGCCCCGGGAGACGACCUGGCCACCACCCGACCGGGUGGACGGGCAAGCGCGGGUC